AAGAAGAGUGCUAUAAAAGAGUGGGGUGGCUGGGUGAGUGGGAACUGGAGUUAGUUGGCUGCUGUGAGAAGAAGAAAGAGGCAGUGCUCUGAGGAGAUGCCCAUGCGAAACACCAAGAAGAUUUUCCCCCGCACCUUUUUGGAUAUUAAUCUCAAUUCAGAAACUUAGAACAACCACAACUAAUAAUCUAAAGAUUCACAUGCUGUCAGAAUCAGCGCACCUGACACAAUCACAGCACACUCAUCCAUGACAAAAAAUUUGGAUGAUCUUCACACGGUGGAGCGGGGCAGUGGCUGAUCUCCAGUGAUGUUAACAUUGAACAGUCUGCAAAGCCUGGUAAAGGGAUUUAAUCUACUGUGACACCUAUAUUAAAAUGCUAGUUACAGUGACAGAAUAAAAAUAAAAAUAUUUACCAUGCAGGUUUAUAAAA